AGGAUCAUUACCGAGUUGAUUCGGGCUCCGGCCCGAUCCUCCCACCCUUUGUGUACCUACCUCUGUUGCUUUGGCGGGCCGCGGUCCUCCGCGGCCGCCCCCCCUCCCCGGGGGGUGGCCAGCGCCCGCCAGAGGACCAUCAAACUCCAGUCAGUAAACGAUGCAGUCUGAAAAACAUUUAAUAAACUAAAACUUUCAACAACGGAUCUCUUGGUUCUGGCAUCGAUGAAGAACGCAGCGAAAUGCGAUAAGUAAUGUGAAUUGCAGAAUUCAGUGAAUCAUCGAAUCUUUGAACGCACAUUGCGCCCUUUGGUAUUCCGAAGGGCAUGCCUGUUCGAGCGUCAUUACAACCCUCAAGCUCUGCUUGGUAUUGGGCACCGUCCUUUGCGGGCGCGCCUCAAAGACCUCGGCGGUGGCGUCUUGCCUCAAGCGUAGUAGAACAUACAUCUCGCUUCGGAGCGCAGGGCGUCGCCCGCCGGACGAACCUUCUGAACUUUUCUCAAGGUUGACCUCGGAUCAGGUAGGGAUACCCGCUGAACUUAA
rnacentral:rRNA from 1 species